UGACAAUCAAUGCUUUAUAUAGUAGCCAUGUAGUUGUUCUGAUAUGAUAGAAAUAUCCCUAUAUUUUCUAUGCUCUGCAUGUAUUGAUGACAAAUAUAUAAUUGUCAUUUUUCAUCCUUUCUCUAGGGGUGAUAAUGGAUCAUGAUCCAAAUGCAUCUUCACAAAUCGUUUGAGCCCUUAAUUAAACUUAGUUUCAAAAAUGAAUAGAAAUAGUGCCCGAUUCUAAUCCGACCCGAUUCUUGAAUUUUACAGUGUAAAAUUUAGAGUCUAUUACCACCCCUACAUAGCACACAUAUGUUCGUGUUUUAUACUUUAUACUCAAGUAUAAAUGAUAAUAUGUUUGUGUUUAUACUCUAUACUCAAGUAUAACAAGCACUUUGCUUGUUAACAUCUACUAGUAAAAAAUGCACAUCUUCCAUCCGCUACUUGUCUCCCUCACGUAGGCAUUAACCUUAGCCCUUGCUCCCCCUUCAACCCCGACGGCUUCGCUUCCGAUGUGCCCCUUCCCCACCUCUCCAUGCCUAGGUUUGACAAUGGGGCCUCGAUCCCCAAUCCUUGGCAGGGAAUUCUUCCACUAGGGGAUGAGGAUGGGAAAAUUUAUUCUCCCACGAGAAUGUAAACGGGAUUUUUCCCCUCACUGGGUAAAUGGGGACAGAGACAUGGAAUUAUUUUCCAUCCCCGUUCUUUGCGGGGACCCGUUAAACUUGUAUGUGAUGAUGUUUUCGUGUAAUAGUUAAUAAUAAAAAUAAAUAAUUAAUUUGUCGAGAGAUCACUGUUUGUACAAAUGUGUUUAUUUCGAUGUAAACAUAAUGAUUUCUUACAUCUGACAAUGUGUAUAAGUGACAAUCUUUUUGGAAGGAAAAUGGCCUCAACAUUUCCCAUAAUCGAUUUUGGUUUUUGAUGAACGACGUACAUCACAAACCAUAUGGACUAACUAGUUUGUCUAGUCGAUAUUUUCUCAUGUGCUUAAUGUUCACACACACAUACAAAGAAAAUGACCUCGGGGGCAAUUCUACAAGUUUGGAGCAAAACAGACUUGCUGCAGCCAGUGACACAACAGAUUGUCCGGUGUGCACCAGACAGUGUCCGGUGCCCUAACUGGAGCACCUUGCGAACUGACCGCUCUCGGGAAUUCUGGCGCUCGUCCACUAAAAAUCAGCGAACUGUUCGGUGUGCUAUGUCCGGUGAGCCCUCAGAGCAACGGUCGACUGCGGGACUGCGACCGCAGUUUGAAGCGUCAGAAGUCAGAAGACAAUCUGCGACGUCAGGUCGCACCGGACUGUCCGGUGCACCAAAAAGAAAAAAAGUUUUCAACGAUCAAUAGCUCCAAACCCCAACUGUCGGCUGACGUGGCACACACUGAACAGUGAACAAUACUGUGUCCGGUGCACCACCAGACUGUCGGUGUGCCCUUCGACAGAGAAGUCAACCAACGACUAGAAUAGUGGUUGGGGCUAUAAAUAGCUCCCAACCACCACCAUUCAAGUCAUCCAAGCAUCCCACUCUCUUCAUUCAAUACAAGAGCAAAGAAUACACUCCAAAGACACAUUCAAAGCCAUUUGAUCCUCUCCAAGUUCCAUAAUCAAGUCAAGUGAUCAAAAGUAUUUAGUGACUUGAGAGAGGGUGAUUUGUGUUUCUUUUUUUUGCUCUUGUUGCUUGGUUGCUUUCUUCUUCUCCUUCUAAACUUUCCAAGUGUUUUGUAAAGCAAGCAAGAGACAUCUAAUUGUGUGGUGAUUCUUGCGGGAUUUUAGUGACCCGUGAGAUUAAGAAGAAGCACUCGACCGAUCUAAGUGACCGAUUGAGAGAGAGAAAUGAUUGAAAUAGACCUGGCCUUUGUGGCCUCCUCAAUGGGAGUAGGUUCUUUAGUAUCGAACCUCAGGAAACAAAUCGCUCUGUCCACUUGUGUUGAUCUUCACCAUUCAAUUUGUUUCUUCCCUCUCCUUACUCUCUAAAGUUCUCUUGGUCAUAUUGUUUUGAGUUAGCUCCCAAAAUUAUCCGCAUUGAUUUAGCAACUCAUAGCAAGAAGAACUGUCUUCCGUACUCCGGAUUCACAAUUAUUUAUUUCUAACUCUAACCCCGGGUAAAAUAUGUGUUCAACGUUUAUAAUUUUCAGAUUUCGUCUAUUCAUCCCCUAUAGGCGACUUUCACUUUUGCAUUAAUAAUAAAGGAAGUGAGUCCUAAUUAUAAUUUAAAUGGGGAUGGGGAUCCCGAAGAUUUAUCCAACAAAUUUUGUGUUCUAGACCUACCUUUCCCCCACGGAGUUUGUUUGAACUAAGGUAUCCGGAACAGUGAGCUUCUUAAAUAUAGUACCCCGAAUCAUGUAAUUGGUUUUCUAGUAUUAUAACUCUCUUGUGUUUGUAGUUUUGGUAUUGUCUGGUCUGAAGCUCUUUCUAUUGCCAUCAGCCGUAACCCAUCGAUCGUUAACUUCUUUUACCCCCGUGCUUUAUAUCCCGUUGAUGAAAACGGAUCACACGUUCCUCCCUCAUGCUUCCCCGUUGCAGCGAUUGCUCCCGGUGGCUCGGCGCCAAUAGAGGCGCCGCCACCUGACUCGGCCGACCCCCAUCUCGCUCGACGAGAUCGUCGCUGGUAUCCGCGGUGAGGUUGCAAAUUUUCCUUCGCUGGCUCCCCCCGCGCUAACGAACGCAGACUGCUCCAUCACCAUUGACGAUGUUGGCAAUACCAGGUUGGAAGCAUCACUAGCGCCUGAUUUAUUCCUAACGCCCUUCUCGUGAACCCCCAGGUAUAUCUUAGAGAAUGUUCAUGCCAAGAGUGGCAACAUAUCGAGAAGCCAUGCCACCAUGCCUUAUGCCAAGAGUGGCAACAGACCUAUUGAUCAUUCAUGUGAUGCACCUGCUGCUAUUCCAACUGAGGUGCCAACACCAGUGUUUUCUUCAGCUGAAGUUGGUUUGUUGAUGUCCACCCCGAGGAAAAUUAGGAGAGCUGUCAAUAAGCUUACUCCCAAGAAGAAGAUGCAUGGCAUGUAGACAGCUUCAAUGGUGAAUGUCGACUGUAUUUUGUUUCAGAAUAUCUAUGGCAUGAAGACAGCUUCAACGCAUGUUAACUGAAUGUAUCUGUCUUUCCUUUCAGUUAUGUGUUGUUUCAGAAACAAAUGUGCAUGUGAUUAUGUGAACUGAAUGUAUCUGUGAACCGAAUGUGCCUGUGCAAUGAAUGUUCGUGUUAAUUGAAUGUGUCUGUUA